AACGAACGCUGGCGGCAUGCCUAACACAUGCAAGUCGAACGAGACCUUCGGGUCUAGUGGCGCACGGGUGCGUAACGCGUGGGAACCUGCCCUUAGGUUCGGAAUAACUCCCCGAAAGGGGUGCUAAUACCGGAUAAUGUCUUCGGACCAAAGAUUUAUCGCCUUGGGAUGGGCCCGCGUUGGAUUAGCUAGUUGGUAGGGUAAAAGCCUACCAAGGCGACGAUCCAUAGCUGGUCUGAGAGGAUGAUCAGCCACACUGGGACUGAGACACGGCCCAGACUCCUACGGGAGGCAGCAGUGGGGAAUAUUGGACAAUGGGCGAAAGCCUGAUCCAGCCAUGCCGCGUGAGUGAUGAAGGCCUUAGGGUUGUAAAGCUCUUUUACCCGGGAUGAUAAUGACAGUACCGGGAGAAUAAGCUCCGGCUAACUCCGUG
rnacentral:rRNA from 1 species